GUAGCCUUUCGAAAGGAAGAUUAAUACCGCAUAAGAUUGUAGUAUCGCAUGAUAUAGCAAUUAAAAGGAGCAAUUCGCUAUAAGAUGGACCCGCGUCGCAUUAGCUAGUUGGUGAGGUAAUGGCUCACCAAGGCGACGAUGCGUAGCCGACCUGAGAGGGUGAUCGGCCACAUUGGGACUGAGACACGGCCCAGACUCCUACGGGAGGCAGCAUG
rnacentral:rRNA from 1 species